rnacentral:rRNA from 1 species
CAAACGWCUCUCGGCAACGGAUAUCUCGGCUCACGCAUCGAUGAAGAACGUAGCAAAAUGCGAUACUUGGUGUGAAUUGCAGAAUCCCGUGAACCAUCGAGUUUUUGAACGCAAGUUGCGCCCGAAGCCUUUUGGCGUAGGGCAUGUCUGCCUGGGCGUCACAC